GGGCCCGCACAAGCGGUGGAGCAUGUGGUUUAAUUCGAUGAUACGCGAGGAACCUUACCAGGGUUUAAAUGCAGAACGACAGGGGUGGAAACACCCCCUUCUUCGGACGGACUGCAAGGUGCUGCAUGGUUGUCGUCAGCUCGUGCUGUGAAGUGUCGGGUUAAGUCCCAUAACGAGCGCAACCCCCAUUUCUAGUUGCCAGCGGUUCGGCCGGGGACUCUAGAGAAACUGCCAGCGUAAGCUGUGAGGAAGGUGGGGAUGACGUCAAAUCAUCACGGCCCUUACAUCCUGGGCCACACACGUGCUACAAUGGUAGGGACAACAGGUUGCCAACCCGCGAGGGUGAGCCAAUCCCAAAACCCUAUCUCAGUUCGGAUCGCAGUCUGCAACUCGACUGCGUGAAGCUGGAAUCGCUAGUAAUCG
rnacentral:rRNA from 1 species